rnacentral:rRNA from 1 species
UGAACUGCCGUGCCGGGAGGCGCGGGUAGGCGGAUGGUGGUGGCGUUGUCAGGAGUGAUUGGGCGUAAAGAGCUCGUGGGCGGCGUGUGGCGGCAGCUGUGAAAACCCGCAGCUCAACUGUGGGCUUGCAGCUGAUACGGGCAGGCUUGAGUUCGGUAGGGGAGACUGGAAUUCCUGGUGUAGCGGUGAAAUGCGCAGAUAUCAGGAGGAACACCGGUGGCGAAGGCGGGUCUCUGGGCCGAUACUGACGCUGAGGAGCGAAAGCGUGGGGAGCGAACAGGAUUAGAUACCCCUGUAGUC